rnacentral:tRNA from 1 species
UGGGAUGUGGCUCAGUGGUAGAGUGCACACCUAGUAUGCAUGAGGCACUGGGUUUGAUCCUCAACACCACAU